rfam:Gaeumannomyces graminis var. tritici R3-111a-1 unplaced genomic scaffold supercont2.7, whole genome shotgun sequence.
UCCGAUAUGGUGUAGUGGCUAACAUCCGGCACUCUCAAAAUUGAGUACUGCCGAGCCCGGGGUUCGAUUCCCCGUAUCGGAG